AUUUUCCAUUUUACUUAAACCUUUACUUAAACCCCUGAUUGUGUAAAGCUUGCCCUAGACUCUCGUUUCCCAAAUCUGAUGUCGCUCGAUCGUGAUCUGGAGAAUCCAAGAGGGAGCAGUACAAUUGUCUAGACGCAUAGGAGAGUCCAAGAGAUCGUGAUCGAUCGUGGUUUCUCUCGCUCGCUCUUCUCUCCCUUCACUUCUUAUUUUACGAGGCACAGAGGAGAAUCGAAGAGGGAGAGAAGGAGAUCGAGGCCAUAUGAUUUGGAUCUCUUUUGAUCUGAAUCGAUUUUAGGCCUUUGUGAUCUUGAUAGUCUGAUGCAAUUGCUCUGCCCUAGUUCGUUAUAUGAUCUGAUUUAAUCUAUUCUGAUGCUAUUGUUCUGUUCGAUUAGAGCUUCGAUUUCAGAAAUGGAGCAAAGACCAAGGGCAAUGAACAGGUGUUUCUCCUGGAGAAGGCACCGGGGCAACAAUGUCUGAUGAUGAUGUUUGAUGGACCUGACACCAUGGGAUUUGGUCCUCUUAUCCCAACAGAGAGAGAGAGAGAGAUCAUUGAUGGAAUGUGUAAGGCAAGAGCUAAAGCAUGAAUUGCUGCAGGGUUACAAGGAGAAACUUGUGGACAAUAGGGAGGAAAUUUUACGAAAGAGAAGGGUUGGAAAACUCCCUGGUGAUACCACCUCUGUCUUAAAGGCUUGGUGGCAAUCACAUUCUAAGUGGCCAUACCCAACAGUAAGUGUUUGCUUAUCACUCCUUUAGAUUGUGUGUUCAGUUUGGUGAAUGGGAAGCACAAUGAACUAUUUAUUUGAAUGGGUUGCUUUAGUGCUAUUGGUUUCACAUUUGGUUGGGUAGAGCAAUUAUGGGUUAGCAUUGAGGCUUCAACGAAGUUUUGGCAAGCUUGUCCUCAUGUGGCCUUGAUAAAUUUAACAGUCCAUUUGGUAACCUAGGUGAGAAAGAGAAGAAUGAAAAGAUUAUAGGUGCUGGAUGCAUCUAGUGGGCAACAUGCUUCAAAAGAAGAUGAACAAGUAUCCCACUAUUUGAAGAAACAUUGAGCAAUCCAUAAUCUGAAUAGUGAGCUUAUUGAUUAUUUUUUUGAACAGUGAGCUUAUUGAUUUUGUUCUUGAUCUUCUGAGGAAGGAGGCUGAGAAUUGUGAUUAUGUUAAUAAUUGCUUGUUGCUUGUAGUGUUUCUUUUUCUUUUCCUCCAAAUGGUGUGUAUUGAGAUCAUGAAUUGGAUAUUUAAGUAUUGAUUCUUAUUUUGAUUGAUACUGCCAACUUAUGAAAAUCAUGCUCAGACGUUAGUGAGUAUAUUGUUAAUUCCUUUUUCUUUGGCUUUGCAGGUGUGAUCAGACAUUAGUGAAUAUAUUGUGCAAUAUUUGUGUUCUGUUAAAAAGGAUGGUGCUGUUGUGUUGUUAAUAUUGUCUGCCUUCCCAUUUUACCAUGUGCAGCACUUCGAGAAUAUGAAUAGCAAUUCAGUUUUGGAGGCUUAUUCCAGGAAUUGAAUUUCUUUAAUGGGGUUUGACUUUUUUUUAGAGUGAGGAUCAUAAUUUUGUGGAAACAGUUGAAAUUUAAACCAUUAAUAUCAAUCAACACAUUUUAUUGUACAUUGCUUUGACAAUAACCAUGACCUUAAAUUUUUUUCCACUUUCCCUAUUCUUAAUUUUGAUAUAUUUGUCAUUUAUUUCAGGAGGCUCGGGUAAGAUUUAUUGGGUUUGGAUCCGAUGAUGAUGAAUGGGUAAAUGUGAAAAAGGCUAUCCGCGAACACUCUCUCCCCUUGGAGCAUUCAGAAUGUGAAAAACUGGAAGUUGGAGAUCUGGUACUCUACUUUCAGUCCAUAGCAAGAAAAGAGAGAUAGUGGCAGUGACCUUGGCAUUGUUAAUUGCACUUCUUCUGCUAGGCAUAAGCUUGAUCAUGUAUCUCCGAAAAAGGAAAAGGAACAAUUCACAGCUGAAUAGAGAAGGCAUUCUGAUGCACAAGUCUGAACAAGGUUACACUGACAAAACUCAAAAGGAAGAUCUACAGUUACCAUUGUUCGACUUAAUUGUAAUAGCUGAUUCCACAAAUAAUUUUUCAAUCAACAAGAAGCAUGGAUAGGGUGGAUUUGGACCUAUUUACAAGGUAACAAUGUAAAGACACUCUUAUGUAGUUUAUAGGAUCAAUGCCCAAUCUCAUGGAGCCUGUCCAGAAGCCAUAAAACCAUUCAACUUUUUUAUCACUGCUUUUUCAUAAAUAGUAAUGCUAUGAACACAUAAAUUUUUCUACAAAAAGGUGCAUAGAAUGUUUGUUUUGCAA